GAUGAACGCUGGCGGCGUGCUUAACACAUGCAAGUCGAACGGAAAGGCUCCUGCUUGCAGGGGUACUCGAGUGGCGAACGGGUGAGUAACACGUGGGUGAUCUGCCCUGCACUUCGGGAUAAGCCUGGGAAACUGGGUCUAAUACCGGAUAGGACGAUGGUUUGGAUGCCAUUGUGGAAAGUUUUUCGGUGUGGGAUGAGCUCGCGGCCUAUCAGCUUGUUGGUGGGGUAAUGGCCUACCAAGGCGUCGACGGGUAGCCGGCCUGAGAGGGUGUACGGCCACAAUUGGGCUUAGGAACGGGCCAGGCUCCUACGGGGGGCAGGAGGUGGGAAUAUUGCACAAUGGGCGCAAGGCUGAUGGAGGGGCGGCGGGGUGGGGAAGACGGCCUUCGGGGUUGUAACCCCUUUCGGUUAGGACCAAGCGCAAGGGACGGUACCCGGAGAAGAAGCACCGGCUAACUACGUG
rnacentral:rRNA from 1 species